rnacentral:rRNA from 1 species
GAUGAACGCUGGCGGCGUGCCUAACACAUGCAAGUCGAGCGGACAGACGCUGCUCUUGUUUCUUUGACGUGAGCCGCGCGCGGGUGUGAAACGCGAGUAACAUCCCCCUAUCAUUCUGGUAUCAUCUCGGGACUCGGGAGCUUACACGAUAUGAUAUUCUGCUGCGCAUGGUUCAAUGGUAAAUGUCGGCGGUGCUGGCAGUACUAGAUGCUUCCGCGCUGCAUUAGCUAGUUGGUACGUUAACGGCUUACCAAGGCAACGAUGCAUAGCCGACCUGAGAGGGUGAUCGGCCACACUGGAGCUGAGACACGGUCCAGACUCCUACGGGAGGCAGCAGUAGGGAAUCUUCCGCAAUGGGCGAAAGCCUGACGGAGCAACGCCGCGUGAGUGAUGAAGGUCUUCGGAUCGUAAAACUCUGUUAUUAGGGAAGAACAUAUGUGUAAGUAACUGUGCACAUCUUGACGGUACCUAAUCAGAAAGCCACGGCUAACUACGUG